GAUGAACGCUGGCGGCGUGCCUAAUACAUGCAAGUCGAACGCUGGAAAUCUAGCUUGCUAGAUUGAAGGAGUGGCGAACGGGUGAGUAAUACAUAAGCAACCUACCCACGAAGACUGGGAUAAUCUCUGAAACGGGGACUAAUACCGGAUAGGUAAUCGGAAGGCAUCUUCUGAUUAUUAAAGGUUAAAAACACUGGUGGAUGGGCUUAUGGCGCAUUAGUUAGUUGGUGAGGUAACGGCCCACCAAGACGAUGAUGCGUAGCCGGCCUGAGAGGGUGAACGGCCACAUUGGGACUGAGACACGGCCCAGACUCCUACGGGAGGCAGCAGUAGGGAAUUUUCGGCAAUGGGGGAAACCCUGACCGAGCAACGCCGCGUGAGUGAUGACGGCCUUCGGGUUGUAAAGCUCUGUUGUAAGGGAAGAACGGUAGAUAGAGAAUAUCUAAAUGACGGUACCUUACCAGAAAGCCACGGCUAACUACGUG
rnacentral:rRNA from 1 species